rnacentral:rRNA from 1 species
CCUACGGGGGGCAGCAGUGGGGAAUAUUGCACAAUGGGGGAAACCCUGAUGCAGCGACGCCGCGUGAGCGAUGAAGUAUUUCGGUAUGUAAAGCUCUAUCAGCAGGGAAGAAAAUGACGGUACCUGAGUAAGAAGCCCCGGCUAACUACGUGCCAGCCGCCGCGGUAAUACGUAGGGGGCAAGCGUUAUCCGGAUUUACUGGGUGUAAAGGGAGCGUAGACGGCAGUGCAAGGCUGGAGUGAAAGGCUGGGGCUCAACCCCCGGACUGCUCUGGAAACUGUACGGCUGGAGUGCAGGAGAGGCAAGUGGAAUUCCUAGGGUAGCGGUGAAAUGCGUAGAUAUUAGGAGGAACACCAGUGGCGAAGGCGGCCUACUGGACGGUAACUGACGUUGAGGCUCGAAAGCGUGGGGAGCAAACAGGAUUAGAUACCCCAGUAGUC